rnacentral:rRNA from 1 species
AUCGAACGCUGGCGGCAGGCCUAACACAUGCAAGUCGAACGAGUGGCGGACGGGUGAGUAAUGUCUGGGAAACUGCCCGAUGGAGGGGGAUCACCACUGGAAACGGUAGCCAAUUCCGCAAACUCUCGGUUGUGCCCAGCGGGGAUUAGCUAGUUGGUGGGGGAACGGCUCACCUAGGCGACGAUCACUAGCUGGUCUGAGAGGAUGACCAGCCACACUGGAACUGAGACACGGCCCAGACUCCUACGGGAGGCAGCAGUGGGGAAUAUUGCACAAUGGGCGCAAGCCUGAUGCAGCCAUGCCGCGUGUAUGAAGAAGGCCUUCGGGUUGUAAAGUACUUUCAGCGAGGAAGCGUUACUCGCAGAAGAAGCACCGGCUAACUCCGUGCCAGCAGCCGCGGUAAUUC